rnacentral:tRNA from 1 species
GGUUGUGGCUCAGUGGUAGAGCACUUGCUUCGCAUGCAUGAGGUACUUGAGUUUGAUCCUCAGCACCA